GGGUGUUUUUGAACUGACCAAGUGUUGUGAAGAUCUUUUUUCCUUCACCAGGGAAAAUUUCUUCCUCCAGCCACACUUGGCAUUCAUGUUUUCUGAUGUUAUGAAGCUUGCCAUUCUGCACUGCAUUGUGGAUUUGGGCAACACAAAUGUUCUAUGAUCUCUGUGAUGACUUUGGUUUAUCAGCCCAGUCAAAAAACUUUGUCUUGCAUAUGGACAAUCAAUAACACUGUAGGAGAAAACAGAAGUUGAAUGUUUAU